rnacentral:rRNA from 1 species
AUUAAGGACGUAGCGUAUUUACGAAAAGUUGUGAUGAGAAACGCAAUCUACUAUGAAUCACAAAUCUCCUAGGGUAAACCAUACGUUUUAGUAUUUACUACUAAAUUAAUUGAAACAUCUUAUUAGUUUAAGGAGUAGAAAUCAAACGAGAUUUCAUUAGUAGUGGCGAGCGAAAAUGAAUUAGAGUACAUACAAUAAAAAAGUUAAAUAAUUUGAAAUAAUUAACUAUAAAAGGUUAAAGUCCUGUAAGCUU